ACCCGAGAACAAGAACAAUUCUCGUUUUCUUGACACAAAUCAGUGCAAAAGGAAAGAGCUAUGGGAGUGUUUGAGUGUUGUUUUCGGUUUUGAUUGUGUGUUGAUCGUUUGUGAACCAAUUUAUCAGUUGAUGUGGAGAACAAUACCACCAUACCUUCGUACUUGGGAGAUGUAGUGAGGGAGAAACAAAGAAACGUGGGAUGGAAAAGGUUGGAGAGUAAGAGUCAAUCUUUGAGUGGUUACUUGGGCAAAACAAGUCUUAGAAGAUAUCAUAAAUGUGCUGUCAUUUUAAGUGUAAAGGGUAUAAUUUUUAUUUUUGUAAUUUGUAUUAGGUAUUUGUUUCAUUAUGUAAUGUGUGUAUUGAGAUAUGUUUUAAUUGGGUAUGCAUUUGUAUAAUUUGUAAUUAAUAAAUUUCCAUAUGUAUUUUGUUGAUAAUAUGAUUUGUUAUUGCAUUUUGGGAAAAA